UUCUUCCUCGCAGGAUGCCUGUAUUCAGUUAGGGAAAUGGUUGAAGACAAAAACUGAAGAAGCCACGGAGGACUGGUGAUUGCACUUAAGAAACAGCCUGAAACUAUCUGAGGCCUAAAGGAAGAUGCUGACAGAGUUACCAGUGGUUACAGACCCGGACUUCCUGUGAGGCGCCGCUGGUGGUCUGGCGCCCUCUGCUGGUGAAGUUGCCUGGCUUUCUCGUUGCUUGGUUUCCUCAGGAUUUUAUCUCCAUCUUCCUGGCGCAACAUCUUUCAGCAGAAUGUGCCAUUCUUAUACGAAGGUAAGAAGCCAUUCUGCUGGGCACCUUAUUUGAAGAAACACUCAAAGAGAAUCAAAGAAAGCAGGACUUGGCAUUUCUUCAACAGUAUACCCCUGUGUGUGAAUGCUCCCCUUUUCCUGCCAUCCGCCGAGGGGGCACUUUCAAGUACUCAGUUCCCAAUGUGGCCCUGGCCCCCCUCAGCUCUGGCACUCUUUAAAUUCCUUUGUCAAGAGAGUGAAUAUUCUUCUCCAGAACACACCAGGGGAGGCAGCCAAGAGGAAGAGAAGUCUGGGAGCCCUGGAAGAAGUUAGGCAGAAGCGCCUCAUCCUCAGGGAGCCAAGAUGGAGACGACCCAUGACUCGACCCUAAAAAGGCGGGUCAGCUUCUGCAGAGUGGUAGGGAGCACGGGCUCCUGGUGGAAAGAGGCAGGUCUUCAUGGACUGGGACCAAGUCCAACAGAUCAGCUGAGACGACAAGGCAGGUAAAUUGAUUUAAUGGUCAGGAAUGCAUUUGGUGGCCAGUCUUCCAGGGGGCCCAUGAAAGUUCAGGGUGACAAAUUUAUUUGGAUAUUGAAUUCCCAUUUAGCAGGAGUAUACCUGGCUCAUGGUAGUUGCCACAUAAGUAUUUGCUGAAUGAGUGGAUGAAUGAACUAGUAUAUAUUGAGUCUAGUAUUUGCUAGAGUUUGUGCUAGGUGAUUGGUGAUUGUACAUGUUAUCUAUUAAUUCCUCUGGUAACACACUUUUAUGUUUUAAAAUCUUUUAAUAAAGUAAAAGUUUUA
rnacentral:lncRNA from 1 species